rnacentral:rRNA from 1 species
CCUACGGGCGGCUGCAGUGAGGAAUAUUGGUCAAUGGACGAGAGUCUGAACCAGCCAAGUAGCGUGAAGGAUGACUGCCCUAUGGGUUGUAAACUUCUUUUAUAAAGGAAUAAAACGAGGCACGUGUGCCUUUUUGUAUGUACUUUAUGAAUAAGGAUCGGCUAACUCCGUGCCAGCAGCCGCGGUAAUACGGAGGAUCCGAGCGUUAUCCGGAUUUAUUGGGUUUAAAGGGAGCGUAGAUGGGUUGUUAAGUCAGUUGUGAAAGUUUGCGGCUCAACCGUAAAAUUGCAAUUGAUACUGGCAGUCUUGAGUACAGUUGAGGUAGGCGGAAUUCGUGGUGUAGCGGUGAAAUGCUUAGAUAUCACGAAGAACCCCGAUUGCGAAGGCAGCUUACUAAACUGUGACUGACAUUGAUGCUCGAAAGUGUGGGUAUCAAACAGGAUUAGAUACCCCAGUAGUC